GUCAUUUCUUUUCUGUUUUCCUCUCCCUCCUCCUCCACUCUGCUCAGGUCCCUCUCACUCUUUUUUUUUUUUAACCGCUACGCCACAGUCCCCGGGAGAAUUCAGAUCCCAACCGGGGCUUCCGGAUUCUGUAGUGGCUUUGGCCUGUGUCUGGUCUGAGGACGCCCGGAAGGCAUUGCACUGAGGCUAAGGGAAAGGUCUCUGGAGGGAGCCUCAGGAAGAGCAAAUGGAGGCCAGAGACUGGCAGGAGCGCGCCAGCGCAGGAUUUAAUCCCGACGAGCGGAUUCAGAGCCGUGCUUAUAUAAAGCUUCAGGAAGCGCCGUUCCGACGAUGAGGUCGACACGCGAGAGGCGACCUCAAGAGCGGCGGCGCCAGGGAUCUGUGCGCCAAGGGAGGACGGGAGGGAGCAGGUUCGCCAUAAUUCCUGGCUCCAGGCUCUGUUUUGUUGGACCGAGCCACUGUAUUUUAGCUCACACAGGAGAAUUCUGGCCCUGGGAAAAUUGGUCUCAGCAUGCUGCCAAGCUUUCUCAUGGACGUCAGCGAAUCCCAACACACUGUCGGUCAAAGCCGUGCUGGAAGAAACAAAACAGUUCUCCCUCGGUAGAACUGAGAGGGGAUUGGUCCAGGGCCCCCGCCGAUACCAAAAUCCAGGUUGCUCAAGUCUCUCAUAGAAAGUGGCGUAGUAUUUGCACAUAACUAUGCACAUCCUCCCGUGUACUUUAAAUAGUCUCUAAAUUACUUCGUAACACCUAAUCCAGUGUAAAUGCUAUGUAAGUAAUUGUUAUACUGUUUUUAUUUUUACUAUCUUUUGUUGUACUUUUUUUUAAAAAAGAAAUUCAUUUGUUUAAUAUUUUCGGUCUUGGGGAACCCGCGUAUAUGGAGGGCCUGCUACAUAGAGAAGACUGAGGGAUAUUCUGUGCAUCCGUUUCUACGGAUCCUCUAAAUCGGCCUUUGUUUUCAGCCAGGAUUUAGUGCCCAGCUGUGUCCUUUGGAGGCCCCACAUGGAGCUAGCAAAGUUUGCUAAAUCGGGUUUUGCAAGAGGACUGUCUGCUCCAUACUGGGAGUAGUUACCGCAAACUGCCCUAUGAAAUUGGUUGGGGUUCUUACUGUUAGCAUGUUUAUUACUUUAUCAGGGCUCUCUGUAGGAGAGUCUAUGAGAAAAUCUUCUGGUUUCUGCUGAAAGAAUCGUGUUUUGUUGGGGUUUUUUUCCCGAAAAAUAUUAUUUUUAAAAACU
rnacentral:lncRNA from 1 species